UACGAAGGGGGCUAGCGUUGUUCGGAAUUACUGGGCGUAAAGCGCACGUAGGCGGAUUGUUAAGUCGGGGGUGAAAUCCUGAGGCUCAACCUCAGAACUGCCUUCGAUACUGGCAAUCUCGAGUCCGGAAGAGGUUGGUGGAACAGCUAGUGUAGAGGUGAAAUUCGUAGAUAUUAGGAAGAACACCAGUGGCGAAGGCGGCUCACUGGUCCGGUACUGACGCUGAGGUGCGAAAGCGUGGGGAGCAAACAGG
rnacentral:rRNA from 1 species